rnacentral:rRNA from 1 species
GCAAGUCGAGCGGGACCUUCGGGUCUAGCGGCGGACGGGUUAGUAACGCCUGUGAACGUGCCCUUCUCUAAGGAAUAGCCACUGGAAACGGUGUGUAAUACCUUAUACGCCCUUCGGGGGAAAGAUUUAUCGGAGAAGGAUCGGCCCGCGUUAGAUUAGGUAGUUGGUGGGGUAAUGGCCUACCAAGCCUACGAUCUAUAGCUGGUUUUAGAGGAUGAUCAGCAACACUGGGACUGAGACACGGCCCAGACUCCUACGGGAGGCAGCAGUGGGGAAUCUUGGACAAUGGGCGCAAGCCUGAUCCAGCCAUGCCGCGUGAGUGAUGAAGGCCUUAGGGUCGUAAAGCUCUUUCGCCAGGGAUGAUAAUGACAGUACCUGGUAAAGAAACCCCGGCUAACUCCGUGCCAGCAGCCGCGGUAAUACGGAGGGGGUUAGCGUUGUUCGGAAUUACUGGGCGUAAAGCGCGCGUAGGCGGAUCAGAAAGUUGGGGGUGAAAUCCCGGGGCUCAACCCCGGAACGGCCUCCAAAACUCCUGGUCUUGAGUUCGAGAGAGGUGAGUGGAAUUCCGAGUGUAGAGGUGAAAUUCGUAGAUAUUCGGAGGAACACCAGUGGCGAAGGCGGCUCACUGGCUCGAUACUGACGCUGAGGUGCGAAAGUGUGGGGAGCAAACAGGAUUAGAUACCCUGGUAGUCCACACCGUAAACGAUGAAUGCCAGUCGUCGGGU